rnacentral:RNase_P_RNA from 2 species
CAAGCCGGCCGGGUGAUCGCGGUCCCCUGGCGGGAUCGAGGAAAGUCCGCGCUCCAUAGGGCACGACGCCGGGUAAUACCCGGGGCGGGGUGACCUGCCGGAACAGGGCCACAGAGAAGCGUAUUGCCCGGAAACGGGCGAGGGUGAAACGGCGGUGUAAGAGACCACCGGCGUCCGCUGCAAGGCGGACGGCCUGGUAACCCCCGUCGGGAGCAAGGCCAAACAGAGGUGAUCCCCCUUCGGGGAGAGCGGUCCGGCCCGGACCGUCUGAACCUCGGGUAGGCUGCUAGAGCCGCGUGGCAACACGCGCGCCGAGAGAGAUGAUCGCCGGGCGGGGAAACCCGCCGCACAAAACGCGGCUUACAGGCCGGCUUGGGUG